AUUGAACGCUGGCGGCAUGCCUUACACAUGCAAGUCGAACGGCAGCACGGGAGCAAUCCUGGUGGCGAGUGGCGAACGGGUGAGUAAAGUAUCGGAACGUGCCCAGUCGUGGGGGAUAACGUAGCGAAAGUUACGCUAAUACCGCAUACGAUCUAUGGAUGAAAGCGGGGGAUCGCAAGACCUCGCGCGAUUGGAGCGGCCGAUAUCAUAUUAGGUAGUUGGUGGGGUAAAGGCUCACCAAGCCGACGAUCCGUAGCUGGUCUGAGGGGACGACCAGCCACACUGGGACUGAGACACGGCCCAGACUCCUACGGGAGGCAGCAGUGGGGAAUUUUGGACAAUGGGCGAAAGCCUGAUCCAGCCAUGCCGCGUGCAGGAUGAAGGCCUUCGGGUUGUAAACUGCUUUUGUACGGAACGAAAAGGUUUGGCCUAAUAAGCUGAGCUCAUGACGGUACCGUAAGAAUAAGCACCGGCUAACUACGUGCCAGCAGCCGCAGUAA
rnacentral:rRNA from 1 species